rnacentral:rRNA from 1 species
AAUGAACGCUGGCGGCGCGCCUAAUACAUGCAAGUCGAGCGAGAAGACGUAGCAAUACGUUUGUAAAGCGGCGAACGGGUGAGGAAUACAUGGGUAACCUACCCUCGAGUGGGGAAUAACUAGCCGAAAGGUUAGCUAAUACCGCGUACGCUCCUUGGACUUCGGUUCAGGGAGGAAAGCGAUACCGUGGGUAUCGCGCUCUUGGUUGGGCUCAUGUCCUAUCAGCUUGUCGGUGAGGAACGGCUCACCAAGGCUUCGACGGGUAGCUGGUCUGAGAGGACGAUCAGCCACACUGGCACUGCGACACGGGCCAGACUCCUACGGGAGGCAGCAGUAAGGAAUAUUGCGCAAUGGGCGAAAGCCUGACGCAGCGACGCCGCGUGGGGGA